GACGAACGCUGGCGGCGUGCCUAACACAUGCAAGUCGAGCGAACGGAUGAGAAGCUUGCUUCUCUGUUGUUAGCGGCGGACGGGUGAGUAACACGUGGAUACCCCACCUAUAAGACUGGGAUAAUUUCGGGAAACCGGAGCUAAUACCGGAUAAUAUUUUGAUCCGCAUGGUUCAAAAGUGAAAGACGGCCUUGCUGUCACUAAUAGAUGGAUCGGCGCUGCUUUAGUUAGUUGGUACGGUACCGGGAUACCAAGGCUACGAUGCAUAGCCGACCUGAAAGAGUGGAAGGCGACACGGGAGGUGAGGCUGAGACACGACUCCUGCGGGAAGAAACAGUAGAGAAUCGUACGCAAUGGGGGAGAGGCUGACAGAGCAACACGGCGUAAGUGAUGAAGAUGUUCGGAUCGGGAAGCUCUGUAAUUAGGGGGGAACAAAUGUGUAAGUAACUGUGACGAUAUUGACGGUACCUAGUCAAAAAGCCACGGCUAACUACGUG
rnacentral:rRNA from 1 species